GACGAACGCUGGCGGCGCGCUUAACACAUGCAAGUCGAGCGAUGAAACUUUAACAGAACCCUUCGGGGCGAAGAUAAAGUGGAUUAGCGGCGGACGGGUGAGUAACACGUGAGUAACCUGUCUUAGACAUUGGGAUAGCCUCGGGAAACCGGGAUUAAUACCAAAUAAAAUCAUAAUGACACAUGUCAUAACGAUCAAAACUCCGGUGGUCUAAGAUGGAGUUGCGUCGCAUUAGCUAGUUGGUAGAGUAAAAGCCUACCAAGGCGACGAUGGGUAGCCGGGCGGAGAAGGGGAACGGCCACAAUGGAACUGAGAAACGGUCCAAACUCCGACGGAAGGCAGCAGAGGAGAAUAUUGCGCAAUGGAGGGAACUCUGAUGCAGCGACGCGGCGUGAACGAAGAAGGCUGUCGAGUCGUAAAGUUCUUUUAUAUGGGAAGAUAAUGACGGUACCAGAAGAAAAAGCCCCGGCUAACUACGUG
rnacentral:rRNA from 1 species